rnacentral:rRNA from 1 species
GACGAACGCUGGCGGCGUGCCUAACACAUGCAAGUCGAGCGAAUGAAGUUCCUUUGGGACUGGAUUUAGCGGCGGACGGGUGAGUAACACGUGGGCAACUUGCUUCAUAGAGGGGAAUAGCCUCCCGAAAGGGAGAUUAUAACCCCAUAGUCUUGUAGUACCGCAUGAUACAGCAUUGAAAGAGGCGAUCUGAUAUGAGAUGGGCCCGCGUCGCAUUGUCGGGGUGGUGAGGGAAUGGCUCACCAAGGCUACGUAGCUUAGCCGACCGGAGAGGGUGGUCGGACACAUCGGGGCUGAGCCGCGGCGCAGACUCCUGCGCGAAGCAGCAGUGGGGAAUAUUGCACAGCGGGGGGAACGCUGAUGCAGCAACGACGCGUGAGUGAUGACGGCCUUCGGGUUGUAAAGCUCUGUAUUCAGGGACGAUAAUGACGGUACCUGAGGAGGAAGCAACGGCUAACUACGUG